GUGGGGAAUAUUGCACAAUGGGCGAAAGCCUGAUGCAGCGACGCCGCGUGAGGGAUGACGGCCUUCGGGUUGUAAACCUCUUUCAGCAGGGACGAAGCGCAAGUGACGGUACCUGCAGAAGAAGCACCGGCUAACUACGUGCCAGCAGCCGCGGUAAUACGUAGGGUGCAAGCGUUGUCCGGAAUUACUGGGCGUAAAGAGUUCGUAGGCGGUUUGUCGCGUCGUUUGUGAAAACCAGCAGCUCAACUGCUGGCUUGCAGGCGAUACGGGCAGACUUGAGUACUGCAGGGGAGACUGGAAUUCCUGGUGUAGCGGUGAAAUGCGCAGAUAUCAGGAGGAACACCGGUGGCGAAGGCGGGUCUCUGGGCAGUAACUGACGCUGAGGAACGAAAGCGUGGGUAGCGAACAGGAUUAGAUACCCUAGUAGUCC
rnacentral:rRNA from 1 species